CUUUUGUCAGGGACGAAGCAAGUGACGGUACCUGACGAAUAAGCCACGGCUAACUCCGUGCCAGCAGCCGCGGUAAUACGGAGGAUGCAAGCGUUAUCCGGAAUGAUUGGGCGUAAAGCGUCCGCAGGUGGCAGUUCAAAUCUGCUGUCAAAGACCGGGGCUUAACUUCGGAAAGGCAGUGGAAACUGAACAGCUAGAGUAUGGUAGGGGCAGAGGGAAUUCCUGGUGUAGCGGUGAAAUGCGUAGAGAUCAGGAAGAACAUCGGUGGCGAAGGCGCUCUGCUGGAC
rnacentral:rRNA from 1 species